AAGAAGCACCGGCUAACUCCGUGCCAGCAGCCGCGGUAAUACGGAGGGUGCGAGCGUUAAUCGGAAUUACUGGGCGUAAAGCGUACGCAGGCGGUCUGUUAAGUCAGAUGUGAAAUCCCCGGGCUCAACCUGGGAACUGCAUUUGAAACUGGCAGGCUAGAGUCUCGUAGAGGGGGGGAGAAUUCCAGGUGUAGCGGUGAAAUGCGUAGAGAUCUGGAGGAAUACCGGUGGCGAAGGCGGCCCCCUGGACGAAGACUGACGCUCAGGUACGAAAGCGUGGGGAGCAAACAGGAUUAGAUACCCUGGUAGUCCACGCUGUAAACGAUGUCGAUUUGAAGGUUGUGGCCUUGAGCCGUGGCUUUCGGAGCUAACGCGUUAAAUCGACCGCCUGGGGAGUACGGCCGCAAGGUUAAAACUCAAAUGAAUUGACGGGGGCCCGCACAAGCGGUGGAGCAUGUGGUUUAAUUCGAUGCAACGCGAAGAACCUUACCUACUCUUGACAUCCAGAGAACUUGGCAGAGAUGC
rnacentral:rRNA from 1 species